rnacentral:rRNA from 1 species
AUUGAACGCUGGCGGCAUGCUUUACACAUGCAAGUCGAACGGCAGCGCGGGCUUCGGCCUGGCGGCGAGUGGCGAAUGGGUGAGUAAUGCAUCGGAACGUGCCCAGUAGUGGGGGAUAGCCCGGCGAAAGCCGGAUUAAUACCGCAUACGACCUGAGGGUGAAAGCGGGGGACCGAAAGGCCUCGCGCUAUUGGAGCGGCCGAUGUCGGAUUAGCUAGUUGGUGGGGUAAAGGCUUACCAAGGCGACGAUCCGUAGCUGGUCUGAGAGGACGACCAGCCACACUGGGACUGAGACACGGCCCAGACUCCUACGGGAGGCAGCAGUGGGGAAUUUUGGACAAUGGGGGCAACCCUGAUCCAGCCAUGCCGCGUGCGGGAAGAAGGCCUUCGGGUUGUAAACCGCUUUUGUUCGGGAAGAAAUCCUCUGGGCUAAUACCCCGGGGGGAUGACGGUACCGGUAGAAUAAGCACCGGCUAACUACGUG